UAGGGAAUCUUCCGCAAUGGGCGAAAGCCUGACGGAGCAACGCCGCGUGAGUGAUGAAGGUCAUCGGAUCGUAAAACUCUGUUAUUAGGGAAGAACAAAUGUGUAAGUAACUAUGCACGUCUUGACGGUACCUAAUCAGAAAGCCACGGCUAACUACGUGCCAGCAGCCGCGGUAAUACGUAGGUGGCAAGCGUUAUCCGGAAUUAUUGGGCGUAAAGCGCGCGUAGGCGGUUUUUUAAGUCUGAUGUGAAAGCCCACGGCUCAACCGUGGAGGGUCAUUGAAAACUGGAAAACUUGAGUGCAGAAGAGGAAAGUGGAAUUCCAUGUGUAGCGGUGAAAUGCGCAGGGAUAUGGAGGAACACCAGUGGCGAAGGCGACAUUCUGGUCUGUAACUGACGCUGAUGUGCGAAAGCGUGGGGAUCAAACAGG
rnacentral:rRNA from 1 species